rnacentral:rRNA from 1 species
UACGGGGGGAGCAAGCGUUGUUCGGAUUUACUGGGCGUAAAGGGCGCGUAGGCGGUCGUGACAAGUCACUUGUGAAAUCUCCGGGCUUAACUCGGAACGGUCAAGUGAUACUGCCGGACUAGAGUACAGAAGGGGCAACUGGAAUUCUCGGUGUAGCGGUGAAAUGCGUAGAUAUCGAGAGGAACACCUGUGGCGAAGGCGAGUCCCUGGACAACACCUGACACUGAGGCACGAAAGCUAGGGGAGCAAACAGG